rnacentral:lncRNA from 7 species
GGGUGACGCCAUCAGCCGGCGCCGCGGCGGCCGCGCGAGCGCGGAGCCCUGCCUGCCUCUCCCAAGUGCAGACUCCAGGGCCGGGGAGUGGGCUCCCCCGCGAGCGAGCGAGCGAUCGAGCGUGCGUGCGUGGGCGCAGGGAAGCAGAGGCAGUGGGAUGGCGAGCAGUGGGGCCCGGGCUAAGUCGGGGGCGAGCGCAGAAGCGCGGGGGAAGCUGGGCGAGCGCGAGGCCUGGCCCCUCAGAUCCGGGAGGUGGGGCCUCGCCCCGGACCUCCUGGAUGGACUUUUCCUGCCUGGCCAUUUUCUCCACCGCCUAAGCCAGAGAGCAUUGGAUCUUCCGAGAGAACUUCGUGAGAGGAGAGAGACUGAAGUCAGGUCCAAAAGAAAACUGUUUCCCCUCCACCAUCCCUUGGAGCGAUCACGUCCUCACUUAGAAAACUCUUGUCCGAGUUUGAGUCUCGGGUCCUAGGCUUCCUAAAUCUGACUAUUUUGUACACCUUUGUAAUGUGCAGGAACGGAAUCUAGUGAUUUUUAAGACUAUACACUUCCGAAGAGGUGGGUGUGGGAGCUGGGCCAUCAUCGUAUGCAUUUCUCGGUCUGGAUUCUGAGAUCAUUUUGAGUACUUAGAAAACUUGCAGACCGAUUGAAAUGUAGCUUUCUUCUUCAAACAGACGUCUCCAGUGUAGCCCAGGCUAGCCUUGAACUGGCGAUCUUCCUGAGAUUAUAUGGGUCUGUACACCACCGUGUCAUGUUUAUGUAGCUUAUUGAACUCAGAAUUAGCCAUUUCUGGGCUAGUACGAGUAGUGACAUAAGGAAAAUAAAGCAAACAUCAAAGACAGAUGUACUGGCACAAGAUAAAAAAGUCCCUCAACUGACAAAGUUACCAUUUUAAGACUUCUAAGUUUAGCUGAGUGCCUGAUUUAUUUUAUUUAUUUUUUAAUUUUUUUUUUUUUUUGCAUUUUCUUUUUAGUACUGGCAUACCAUAUGAAAUGUGGGCAGUUGCCAGUACACUACGGAGUACCACAGACGAAUUGGUGAUGACUAAAUCAAUUCAUUGAGGCAAAACUUCAUGUGUCUACUGUGUGUGUUAUCUCUGAAAUCAGAGUCUGUGUUUCCAGGGGCUUCUCUGUGUGUAAUAGUAAAUAUACAAAAUGCUAAACAUCUGCCUAAAGCUGAGUUCCAGUAUACAACAUAAUACAGAACACUAUUGUGUAUCUGAUAGCCAUGGAUUUGGACUGUAUGGUUUCAGCGGGAUCUUGUCCAUUUUCUGUAUUCUUCAGCACCUUUGUCUCACUUUCCACCUCCAUACCUUUUGCAAUCUUUGAGUGCCAGCCCCGUUUUAUUAUACGACUGACUAACAGUUUCACAAGAAGACUGAGGCCAUUGACUGCAAAUUCCUUCAAUUUUCCAAAUGCUAGAGAUGGGCUGAUCUUUUCUCAGUAUGGAGAGAAUGACAGAACUCCUUGCCCUCAUGCAAGGUCAGUCAACUCUCCAACUAUAUUCUGGUUUCAGUGUCUCUCUUUGGCCUGUUUUUUGUUUUUCUGAUUUCAGUCCUUCACAAAGUUUGGCUCCCUUUUGUAACUUACUCAGGUUCAUUCCUUCAUAGUUGUACAUUAUGUAUGAAAUGCAACUUCGUUAUUUGGAAAAAGUUCUUGCUUUGCUGUAUAGAAAUGAAAGAUAAUCUUUGGGGGUUUGUCAGGUAAAUCCAAACUAUUAGGAUAGUCAAGUCCCCUGGAAUGAUUUGUAUCUAUUUUUGAAUAUAUUUUACUUAGUAAAUUUUUACAUAUUUUCUCCCUUUGUCAGCCUUGUAGCCAAAACUGGCUGGCCAUGUAUUAGGCACACCAAUAAACUAAACCUCAUGUGUUUUCA